rnacentral:tRNA from 1 species
GCCCCGAUGCUGGAAUUGGUAGACAGGCUGGCCUCAGAAGUCAGUGCCAGAAAUGGCGUGGGAGUUCGAGUCUCCCUUGGGGCACCA